GCACAGAGAGAAACCUGAUCCAGAGCCUGAUGGAAGCAACGUGACAGACAUGGGGAUGUCACUCCUCAAAGGCCGUCAGAGAGAGAGGCAGUAACACAAGGGGGUUUUGUUUUACCAGCAAAUAGACCGCUUCCAGAGCCACGCUGCAGCUCUGACCUCACUUCCUCGGCCGUUUCCUGCCUUCUGCUUGAACCCUGCUGGCUCAACGCUGGCACAGGUGAUGAACUCAUACUACAUCAUUGUGCAAAAACUUGAAAUGGGUCGGGCCGUUUUUUUCCCCCCUCUUUUGAAGUCGUGUGAGUAGCAAGACUAGAACACAUUACAGAUAAUAUGGUCUUUAUUGAACACAUUGACUGGCUGUGUCUAUCUGUGUAACAUCUUGAGAGGGAUGCGGUUCUCAAAUGUUUUUGUGUCACAGACUUACAAACAGACAUGGAAAAGGUUCAGACACCUUCUUUUAACAGGAUUUGGUCUCAAUAGACUGUGUGGGAGGGCCUCUGUUCAGUAAAUUGCAACUGAAAAGUAUAACACGUUAUGUGGGAGGAAGGAGCAAAUAUUGUGAUGGUGAAUAGAUGGUGAUGACAGGCCAUGAGUCUGUGUAAAUAUCCAGAUAUUGCCUGUAACUGCUCAUUUUGUAAGGUAAAUGGGUAAAAGCUUCUGAAGUCAGUUAAUCCUUUUUCAAGAUGGUGCAUCACUUUUCUAAAUCAGCAUUAACAAUUACCUUAAUUAGGCUGAUGUCACCAUUCCAGUGUUUUGUUUGUCUGUUCUGGGCUACUGUAGAAACAUGGCAAACAGUGGAAGAGGAGAAAAGGCUUAUUUUAAGGUUCUUAUUUUCAGGUGAGAGGACACUAAUGAAAACAUACUUCUGAAUAUAUAUAAAUAUAAAUAGAUCCUCUUAAAUGUUACACAUUAGACCUUUAAAAAGUCCCAAAUCCUGAAUAUCUGUCUGCUAAAUGCUCGACUGUGUUCACUUGCAAGUCACUAACAGUGUCUGUCUGCUGUUUGGUGCUGAGCAAGUAGUUGCUGUCUCACUGAAAACAUCUGUACUGUAUGAUGCUACACUGAUGUGUAAUCGUGUGAAUGGUGUCUCUGUCAUUCCCUCUCUGCACUCCUGAACCAGCACCAGGAAAGUGGACAUUGUAACUGGGCUCAGCAGCUUCGAUGGACAUUGCUCCUCUUCAGGCAUCUCUUUCAUGCUUUUGGCAGAGGUGAAGGUGAAGAAGAGCAAGGAGCUGCCGGACGGAAGAGUAAAUCUGGGACUUACUUUUAGUCGUUGGCGAGAACUUAAAAAGUUGAAAGACAGAUUCUAGGGCUUCUGUUCUGCUGUUGGACUAGGCUGUGUUCACCGGCUCUGGCUGGCCAGCGACAGCGGGAGGGGGAGAUCGCGCGCCGUCAUUAGCAGGUGGUAGUGAAUCACUAGUCCAGUCUGCCCACAGUCCAGUAUUAGGACGAAGGAGUAGAGAACAGAGAAAGACAGAGCUGCUGCUAGCCGACCCCGGCCUCUCCAGAGGAACAAAUACCCGGAGUUUGGAACGUUUGCAAGACAUUUUUGAGGACAUUACAAGGUUUAUUUUGUUCGACAAUGUUGAAGAGUGUCAUGACAUCAAGGGUAAAAUGCUGCUCCUGGAAUUACACAUUGUUCCUUUAAUAUGAAUUGUAAAAAUUGAAUGCUGCGCCACAAUAUAUUUUUGUUAUCAACAGGCCAAAGGCAAAUGUGAAAGGGUUCAUACACAGUGGAGAACCCACCGAGAAUCACUUGACCCCCUUGACAAAACACCUUCCCAUCCAGCCUCAUGACAAGAAGCGUUUCUGGACUGUCAUACUAUCUGAACAUAUCUAAAAUAAAAAAACAG